GUCGGGUAAGUUCCGACCUGCACGAAUGGCGUAACGACUUCCCCGCUGUCUCAACCACAGGCCCGGUGAAAUUGCAGCAU
rnacentral:rRNA from 1 species